UGGAAGCGUCUGGAAAGGCGCGCGAUACAGGGUGACAGCCCCGUACACAAAAAUGCACAUGCUGUGAGCUCGAUGAGUAGGGCGGGACACGUGGUAUCCUGUCUGAAUAUGGGGGGACCAUCCUCCAAGGCUAAAUACUCCUGACUGACCGAUAGUGAACCAGUACCGUGAGGGAAAGGCGAAAAGAACCCCGGCGAGGGGAGUGAAAAAGAACCUGAAACCGUGUACGUACAAGCAGUGGGAGCACGCUUAGGCGUGUGACUGCGUACCUUUUGUAUAAUGGGUCAGCGACUUAUAUUCUGUAGCAAGGUUAACCGAAUAGGGGAGCCGAAGGGAAACCGAGUCUUAACUGGGCGUUAAGUUGCAGGGUAUAGACCCGAAACCCGGUGAUCUAGCCAUGGGCAGGUUGAAGGUUGGGUAACACUAACUGGAGGACCGAACCGACUAAUGUUGAAAAAUUAGCGGAUGACUUGUGGCUGGGGGUGAAAGGCCAAUCAAACCGGGAGAUAGCUGGUUCUCCCCGAAAGCUAUUUAGGUAGCGCCUCGUGAAUUCAUCUCCGGGGGUAGAGCACUGUUUCGGCAAGGGGGUCAUCCCGACUUACCAACCCGAUGCAAACUGCGAAUACCGGAGAAUGUUAUCACGGGAGACACACGGCGGGUGCUAACGUCCGUCGUGAAGAGGGAAACAACCCAGACCGCCAGCUAAGGUCCCAAAGUCAUGGUUAAGUGGGAAACGAUGUGGGAAGGCCCAGACAGCCAGGAUGUUGGCUUAGAAGCAGCCAUCAUUUAAAGAAAGCGUAAUAGCUCACUGGUCGAGUCGGCCUGCGCGGAAGAUGUAACGGGGCUAAACCAUGCACCGAAGCUGCGGCAGCGACACUAUGUGUUGUUGGGUAGGGGAGCGUUCUGUAAGCCUGUGAAGGUGUGCUGUGAGG
rnacentral:rRNA from 1 species